AUUGAACGCUGGCGGCAGGCCUAACACAUGCAAGUCGAGCGAGCGGCGGACGGGUGAGUAAUAUACGGGGACUGUCCGAUAGAGGGGGAUAACUACUGGAAACGGUAGUUAAUACCGCAUACUAUCGGAUAACCCAUAUGGGAUUAGCUAGUAGGUGAGGUAAUGGCUCACCUAGGCGACGCGCCCUAGCUGGUCUGAGAGGAGGAUCAGCCACACGGGGACGGAGAGACGGCCCAGACUCCGACGGAGGCAGCAGUGGGAAAUAUUGGACAAUGGGCGCAAGCCUGAUGCAGCCAUGCCGCGGGUAUGAAGAAGGCCCUAGGGUUGUAAAGUACUUUCAGUGGGGAGGCGUUACCGGCAGAAGAAGCACCGGCUAAGUCCGUGCCAGCAGCCGCGGUAAUAC
rnacentral:rRNA from 1 species